rnacentral:rRNA from 1 species
GAAUACAACAAUAAGACGAGAAGACCCUAUGGAGCUUUAAUUAACCGACCCAAAGAGACCCAUUAAUUUCAACCGACAGGAACAACAAACCUCUAUAUGGGCCGACAAUUUAGGUUGGGGCGACCUCGGA